rnacentral:rRNA from 1 species
ACGCACGCUGGCGGCGUGCUUCACACAUGCAAGUCGCACGGAAAGGCCCUGCUUGCAGGGUACUCGAGUGGCGAACGGGUGAGUAACACGUGGGUGAUCUGCCCUGCACUUCGGGAUAAGCUUGGGAAACUGGGUCUAAUACCGGAUAGGAGCCAUCUUUAGUGUGGUGGUUGGAAAGUUUUUUCGGUGUAGGAUGAGCUCGCGGCCUAUCAGCUUGUUGGUGGGGUAAUGGCCUACCAAGGCGGCGACGGGUAGCCGGCCUGAGAGGGUGUACGGCCACAUUGGGACUGAGAUACGGCCCAGACUCCUACGGGAGGCAGCAGUGGGGAAUAUUGCACAAUGGGCGCAAGCCUGAUGCAGCGACGCCGCGUGGGGGAUGAAGGCCUUCGGGUUGUAAACUCCUUUCGCUAGGGACGAAGCUUUUUUGUGACGGUACCUAGAUAAGAAGCACCGGCUAACUACGUG